GAUGAACGCUAGCUACAGGCUUAACACAUGCAAGUCGAGGGGUAACGAGAGGGAAGCUUGCUUUCCUUGUCGACGACCGGCGCACGGGUGAGUAACGCGUAUCCAACCUGCCCCCAACUAGGGAAUAACCUUGCGAAAGUAAGACUAAUACCCUAUAAUUUCCUCAGAUGACAUCUGACGAGGAAUAAAGAUUUAUCGGUUGUGGAUGGGGAUGCGUCUGAUUAGCUUGUUGGCGGGGUAACGGCCCACCAAGGCAACGAUCAGUAGGGGUUCUGAGAGGAAGGUCCCCCACAGUGGAACUGAGACACGGUCCAAACUCCUACGGGAGGAAGCAGUGAGGAAUAUUGGUCAAUGGGCGGAAGCCUGAACCAGCCAAGUAGCGUGCAGGAUGACGGGCCUAUGGGUUGUAAACUGCUUUUAUACAGGAAUAAAGUUAGCCACGUGUGGUUAUUUGUAGGUACUGUAUGAAUAAGGACCGGCUAAUUCCGUGCCAGCCGCCGCUGUAA
rnacentral:rRNA from 1 species